ACUGUAGCAUGAAGGUCCAAGCGUUAGCUCGAUCUCACUCUCGUCCAUAAUAUCUGUAUUAUUACCACCGGAAUCUCUUCUCGCCAACCGGAUUAAGAAGCUUCUCCAUGUUCCAAGGAAUGUCAAGAUCUCAAGAAGAUUAACGAACUUGGAACUUCGCUUUGUAAUAACCUGUGACAAAAAAAGAAUAUAUAUACUGACUUUUGUCAGCUAGUACUUGAUUUAGAUUCUGCAAUUUUUAGCCACUUAUGUUAUAGAUCUGAGCACACAUGCACAAAAAUAUCUUCAUGUAUCUAGAAAAUCUCACACAUAUUUAUCGUACUUUCAAAAAUCAAUUUGGUGGUUCAUGUUCUCUCUUACACGCAUGUUAAUCUUGUCUUUUCAUUAAUAUGAUUCGCUUACAUUCUUAUGGACUUUUCUGGUUUUUACAGUAAGAAUUGAUGUCAAGUUUGGUGCGAUUAAUAAUAGAGGUGUUCAAUCGAAGUGAAUUUAACUAUUGAUUUAUAUACAACAAACUGAUGAAGAAAUGAAAACAAAUAUUAUCAAACUAAUAAAAGAUAAUUAGAAGGAUUAUUAUUACUAACCUGAACCAAUUAUAGCUUUAGAAGCUGAUUCUAUGAUGAAGAACAUUAGAAGGCGUCUGUUUAUGAAGAGAAUAAUGAGCUUGAGAUCAAGCAGAAGAGAUUUGAAUUGGUGACUCACAUUCUUCGUAGUUGUAUAUACUGGUUUUUAAAGAAUGUGCUCUAAUUUAAUGAUUAUAAAAAGGGUUUAAGUAAUCAUUUGUUUUUGAAAGCGUUGAUUAAU